GCCUCAUGCCUGAAAGGGUGACGGCAUCGAGCCGCAGCGAGAAGUCAGCAGAGGUCGGAGUAGUUACAGGACAGGCUGAUGAAGCCGAAGCGGGUGGCGAAGGAC
rfam:Candidatus Burkholderia pumila strain TZHbot3 BPMIctg124, whole genome shotgun sequence.